rnacentral:misc_RNA from 1 species
GAUGAAGAACGCAGCGAAAUGCGAUAAGUAAUGUGAAUUGCAGAAUUCAGUGAAUCAUCGAAUCUUUGAACGCACCUUGCGCUCCUUGGUAUUCCGAGGAGCAUGCCUGUUUGAGUGUCAUUAAAUUCUCAACCUUUAUCUUUUAUUGAUAAAUGGCUUGGACUUGGGGGUUUGCUGGCGAAAGUCAGCUCCUCUGAAAUGUAUUAGCUGGUUGCCUUGUGUGAACUUGUCUAUUGGUGUGAUAAUUAUCUACGCCGUGGGCUGUUUGCCGUUUUAGCACUGCUUCUAACUGUCUGUUAACUCGGACAAUAUAUGACAAUUUGACCUCAAAUCAGGUAGGACUACCCGCUGAACUUAAGCAUAUCAAAAGCGGAGGA